CCAUGAAGUGGUCCCUUACCGUCUACGGAAACGAAAACUUCCUGUGGAGAAAUGCAAGGAGCAUCCCUCUAAAGAUAUAGAUAUGAUCUGCGAAAAUUGUCAGGUUCCACUGUGUUCCAAAUGUGCAAUACAAGAGCACCGAGGGCACACGUUUGAGGAUCUAGAGACGAUUUACUCAAAGAACUUCGGUCUCUGCCUUAAUGAAAUCCGUAACAUUCAUCAAUUUUUUCUCCCAACCGUACAAGAAAUAAAGAAAGAUAUUAGAGAGGAUGCCAAGAAACUUAUUACUUUCAUGGAUAAAAUAAGAGAAUUGAUAAAAAUUGAAUCAGAGUCCAUGAAAGGUCUGGUGGAUGAAGUGAUGUCAGAAAAGUUCGAACAAGUCAACAAACUAGAAGAAACACUGAAGGAGGGAAUUCAGAGUCAAUAUGAUACAUACAAGGAAUACAAUGCAUAUCUUAAGAAUUUCGAUACUAAGAUUUACGGUUACAUGUCUUUCGAUAAAGUCCAAAGCAAUCCAAUCCUAUUCUCACUUUCAGAAUAUCUAAAAAUCAAAUCUAUUCCUGAAACCACCAAGCCAAUCUAUCCAGAAUUUACCGCUGGUCAAUAUAGUAAGGAUGACUUCGCUAAACUUUUCGGUCAAAUAUCAAUUCCUGACACUAAACCAGAGAAGAGAAGAAUAAAACCACUGGAAAAACUCCCUACUCAGUUAGAACCUACAAAAAAGCAAAGAGGACGAAAAAGGGGGAAAUCUUUUACAAAAAGAACUCUCUCCUUGUCUUCCUCUGUAGACAUAGCCAAGGAAUAUACUGUACCAAGUUGUAAAAAGUGCUUAUCAUUUAUCACUUGAUACGUCCGGCGGCAUAUGGGUCAGUGAUAAUUAUGGUAACCUUGUCCAUGCAGAUCUGAAAGGGAACCAGUUACAGAAGAUACAAACCAGUGCCGGGGAUGAAGGUUACCACACAGUAACCAAAGAUGGGGAUUUAAUCUACACGGACAGAGAAAACAACAUCAUAAAUUUAAUAACAUCCGAUAAAACAGUCACUGAAUUUAUUAAAACUGAAAAAUGGACACCUCUUAGCAUACACUCCUCCCACAUCAACAGAGACAUACUGGUGGGGUUGAACAAGGAUCGAGAGGGUCAGGUCGCUAGGUAUAACAAGACAGGCAAAGAAAUACAGAACACACAGAAGGAUAGCAAAGGCCAGGGAAUAUAUAUAAGCUAUCCACACUUUAUCACUGAAAACAUCAACGGUGAUAUCUGUUUAUCAGACUACGAUAAAAAUGCCGUUGUAUUGAUCAAUAAAAUGGGACAACACAAAUUCUCCUACACAGGUCAGGGUUCAAAGUUCCGUCCCUUUGGUAUCUGUACUGAUAUCGUCGGUCACAUCCUGGUUUGUGAUAAUGAGAGUAACACCGUUCAUUUACUGGAUCAGGACGGUCAGUUCUUGUUGUUACUACUCACAGAGGAGCACGGGAUAUAUAGGCCAGUUAGUGUAUGUGUGGAUGCGGAUAACAAUCUUCAUGUGGGACAAUAUAACACGAACAAAGUGAAAGUGUACGAGUUUCUAGAGUGACCAUUACUUAGUUGAAAGUAAUCAUAUCAAGAUCUGCACACAAUGACUGUGAAAUUUAGCCUUAUGAUACAUCAAUUUCAGUAUUUGAUUGUAUGUUGUAAUGAAAAUGAAAUGGUAUUUCGUAUAUUUGCUGAUGCAUUAGAAAAUAGGUGACCAUUCUUAGAUAAGCAGAAAUUGGCACUGAAUUUUUACGAUAGUCGUUAGAUUGCAUAAAAAAUACACCGUUUAAUAAUUAAUUGCAUGCAUAUGAAAUGAUAUUUUGUUUUGUAAUGCAUUUUAAAAAUGUUCAUUAUAAUAUCAGUUUUGAAAGAUUUAAAAUAAAAAUGAACUGAAU
rnacentral:misc_RNA from 1 species